rnacentral:rRNA from 1 species
UUAAAAGGCUAUACAUAUGCUAAAGACACCAGAUCCCACUAGAUCUUGAAAGCUAAGCAGUUUCUAUUUUGCUUAGUUCUUAGAUGGAAUACCACCAAUGAAUGCUGUAGGCUGUAUUUU